GCAGGCGUAGCUCAGUUGGUUAGAGCGUCUGACUGUGGAUCAGAAGGUCGAUGGUUCGACUCCAUCCGCCUGUA
rnacentral:tRNA from 1 species